GAUGAAGAACGCAGCGAAAUGCGAUACGUAAUGUGAAUUGCAGAAUUCAGUGAAUCAUCGAGUCUUUGAACGCACAUUGCGCCCCCUGGUAUUCCGGGGGGCAUGCCUGUCCGAGCGUCAUUGCUGCCCUCAAGCACGGCUUGUGUGUUGGGCCUCCGUCCUCCUCCCGGGGGACGGGCCCGAAAGGCAGCGGCGGCACCGCGUCCGGUCCUCGAGCGUAUGGGGCUUCGUCACCCGCUCUUGUAGGCCCGGCCGGCGCUUGCCGACACAUCAAUCUUUUUUCCAGGUUGACCUCGGAUCAGGUAGGGAUACCCGCUGAACUUAAGCAUAUCAAUAAACGGAGGA
rnacentral:misc_RNA from 1 species